rnacentral:rRNA from 1 species
GUCCACACCGUAAACGAUGGAUACUAGGUGUAGGGAUAAUAAAUUCUCUGUGCCGCCGCUAACGCAAUAAGUAUCCCACCUGGGGAGUACGGCCGCAAGGUUGAAACUCAAAGGAAUUGACGGGGCCCGCACAAGCAGUGGAGUAUGUGGUUUAAUUCGACGCAACGCGAAGAACCUUACCAGGGCUUGACAUAUACAGGAAUAUAUAAGAGAUUAUAUAGCUCUUCGGAGACUGUAUACAGGUGGUGCAUGGUUGUCGU